UGAGCUCUGGCGACCUUACUCACCGGCAGGAAGCAACACUAUGAGCUAGGGUCUAGUGUUAUUUGGCUGCGGUUUUCUGUAAGGUGGAGGUAUAGUCGAAAUCGGGCUCUGCUCUAGAUCUGGAAUGAAAUCUGCUGUGCUGUACCCUACCAAACAGAGCGAGAUGACAUUCACAGUGCCCAUACCUAUCUUUUGGACGUAGUUUAAGGACAUACCCGGGUC